AUCCAGCUGACGAGUCUCAAAUAGGACGAAACGUGCGUCCUGGAU
rfam:Schistosoma haematobium scaffold1816_16, whole genome shotgun sequence.